rnacentral:rRNA from 1 species
GAGGGAUAUUGGUCAAUGGGCGAGAGCCUGAACCAGCCCACUCGCGUGAAGGGAGAAUGCCUUAUGGGUUGUAAACUUCUUUUUUACAGGAAUAAAAAAGCUUUCGUGUAGGCCAUUUUAAGUACUGUAUGAAUAAAAAGCCGCUAAAUCCGUGCCAGCAGCCGCGGUAAUACGGAGGAUGCGAGCGUUAUCCGGAUUUAUUGGGUUUAAAGGGUGCGCAGGCGGGCUUUUAAGUCAGCGGUGAAAUCUGGACGCUUAACGUCCAAACUGCCGUUGAAACUGGGAGUCUUGAGUAUGGAUGAAGUAGGCGGAAUUCGUUGUGUAGCGGUGACAUGCAUAGAUAUAACGAGGAACUCCGAUUGCGUAGGCAGCUUACUAAGCCAUAACUGACGCUCAUGCACGAAAGCGUGGGGAUCAAACA